CCCGGGUUCAAGUCCUGCCCAGUGCACCUGAGCCCCUUCCACAGCACAUGGUGCUCCCGGCUGUGGCAGUGGCAGGGCUGUGGAGAGCGACACUGAUCCCCCAGCCCGCCGGUCAUCGCAGCGGGCUCACUCCGAAUCCGCCUGCUGGCUCUGGGGACACGGCCUGGGCCCAGCUCCAGGACGGUGACCAUCUGUCAUCCCUGCUCCAGAGAAGAGAGACAAACUACAUUGGCCACAUCUGCCCUCCCUCCCAGACCCUCAAACCCUCCCCUGGCUCUAGUUCUGUACCCCAAACUCGUGGCUGAGCUCCCCCCACCCCGCCACCCAGUUACCUUCAUCCUCACUGCUGCAUGCUCAGCCAGUAGAUCACCAGAGUCUGGGAGCAGACUCUUCACCGGCUAAGCUAAUGGACUGUCACACGGAUCAGCCUGAGGUUUGGAGCCAAGACGAAGUAGGAAGUAGUGGGGGCACUUGCUUCUGGAGGAAGGGUUUCAAAUCCUGGAGGAGCAUCCAUUAGGCAGCAGGGUGUCUGUGAGGUCCCCUUGCUUAAGGCUGUGGAGCCACCUGGCCAGUACCCCACCCAGGCACUGAGGUCCCUGGGCCUCAGACCUCCGCCAGCUGCCCAGGCUUCCUGUGUCAGGUCUGGGAAGAGGAACAGUAUGUGUGACGCAGCCAGACCCAGAUGGAAGAAGGAAACAGAGUGAUGCAGAAUCAGUGGACAAGUUUAUUCCACUAACUCCUAAGUCUGAAAAUAGAUGAGGAGACAGAUUAAAGGCCCAUGCUGGCACCAGGAGAGGAGCUGUAUUUGAGGCUGAGAAUGUGCCCAGCAGAGGAGGAACCUGCCACCCAGAAGGAUGCCAGGCUACACCUACAGAAGAGACAGUGGAGUCUGAAGAAGGUGGCAGUGGCAUCCUGACAAGAGGCCCUGGCUUCGUCACAGUACCGAGGAGAAUCAGAGGGGGAACCAGCCGUGCCCAGAAGGGGCCAAGCAUGUGGGUGGCCAAUCGAGCACAGACUCAGUGGGUGACCAGCCUGAGUCCUUUCCAGGGACAGUGCCCAGGAUCUGAUCACCUCAACUAGGCCCAAGCUCUGAGGUCUCACAACACUGGGGACCAAGUCCAGCUCUGGAGCCCUGGGAGAUGCUCAGACGCCUCCAAACCACACAACGGGCCUCCUUCUAGAUGUGAGGUCACACAAGAGGUCUAGUGACCACCUCGUGCACACAGAUCCUGCUUUGGAUGAGGCAGUAGAAAAGGACACGUGGGGACAACGGGCACAUGUGAAUACAGAUGGCUACUCAGCAGCACUAGGGAAGUCUUGUUACUGUUGUUAGCUGUGGCAAUGUUAUCACAAUUAAGUAAGAAAAUGCCAUUAAGAAAAAAACCAAGAAUAUUUGGGGGAAGAUGUC
rnacentral:lncRNA from 1 species